rnacentral:siRNA from 1 species
GCCCAGCCCUAAGCAUCUCAGUAC